rnacentral:rRNA from 1 species
GCUACUGUCAACGUGUAGCUGAUAAUGGCCGAUUGCAUCGCAAGCGGUGAACGGUUAAGGCUAUGGGCGAUAGCGGGAAGGGCCGUAUUCAGAAUGGUAGCGUCAAGCGCCUGCAUAAAAAAAGCCAUCGCUGCGAUCCAUGGCAGCCCGGCCAUACUGCGGGCUUUCUUUUUGGUCAUUCGAUACCUUUACUAUUUGUCGGAAUGGUUGGGGGCACUCAACAACGCCUGGCAGGCGCUCAGCGCUCGCAAGCCGUCGCUAUCCAGAAUGGCAUCAACGAUUGCCUGAUGGAGAUCCAGCUUCACCACUUCAUUUUGGGUAAUCGAAGUGAAGUAGGUGUGGUAAACCGAAUGAAAUAAAGAAGCGAAAGAGGUCAGGAAAGGAUUGCCGCUCAUUUCAUAUAUAUGUUCAUGCCAGGCCAUAUCGACCUCAAUCCAGCGCUCGCGCUGAAAGUUCCUCUUUAGCUCAACCAUCUCCUCCAUCAAAGCGUUGAGUUGAGCCUUCUGCUCCGGCGUGCCUGAGGUUGACGCCAGAAAACAGGCUUGGGGCUCCAGGCUUUCGCGCAUAACGAGGAAAUGGCCGACAACUUCAGCGAAAUUAUCUUCCGUUAACCACCAUGCGAGUAGUUCUUUAUCGAGAAAGUUCCAGCUGCUGCGGGGCAUCACCCGCGUUCCGAUCCGUGGACGAGGUAAAAGCAUCCCUUUCGCAGCAAGCGUUUUAACCGCUUCACGCACGGCCGUACGGCUCACGCCAAACUGCUCACCCAGUUCCAUCUCUCCGGGAAGGAUACUUUCUGGCGGGUAUUCCCCGGUCAGGAUUUUUUGAGCUAGUUUCUCCGCUAAUACCCAGGAGAUGUUCUUUUGUGCCGCCAACUGCUGUGCGCUUAAAGACAUAAAUGCCGUUCCUUUCUCUUUUUUACCUUAUCAGUAUGCCAUCUGGCGGCGUGCUUCGUUGGUUAAAACGGCAAAACGCCGCUUUUUUGCUACAUUACACGGCGUAAUGAUGAAAAAAGAGGCGGUUGAAAAGUUUUUUGAAAUUUCCCCUUGUCACUUCGUAAUUACUCCCUAUAAUGCGCUCCCACUGACACGGAACAACGGCUUACAGCCCGCCGGGU